GAUGAAGAACGUAGCGAAAUGCGAUAAGUAAUGUGAAUUGCAGAAUUCAGUGAAUCAUCGAAUCUUUGAACGCACAUUGCGCCCCCUGGUAUUCCGGGGGGCAUGCCUGUUCGAGCGUCAUUCCACCACUCAAGCCUCGCUUGGUAUUGGGCAACGCGGUCCGCCGCGUGCCUCAAAUCGACCGGCUGGGUCUUCUGUCCCCUAAGCGUUGUGGAAACUAUUCGCUAAAGGGUGCUCGGGAGGCUACGCCGUAAAACAAACCCAUUUCUAAGGUUGACCUCGGAUCAGGUAGGGAUACCCGCUGAACUUAAGCAUAUCAAUAAGCGGAGGA
rnacentral:misc_RNA from 1 species